AUGCCUUUGGGCUUUAGUUCUACAGGACUGAUCCCGGCCCAACCCACCUCAUAUCCUCUCCCUCCCCACACUACAGGAAACAGGGAGAGGCCGUGGCGCCCAUCCAGGCCUCCCCGACCGGCGAUGUCGCCGUGGCGCCCAUCCCACGCCCCCAAAAGGAUAAGGUUGCGCCGUGCCCCCCUCGACCGAACCCUAGCCCCCACUCGAACUCCCCUUUCCCUUUGGUCACAACUUGGAGUUCGCCUGAUGUCAUGGUCGCCAUGCCGUCGUCGUAGCCGCGGCCACUGUGCGCCUCUUCGCUGGGGGAGACGUCCAGCAGAACCAUCGUCGUCCACUUCUUCAUCUCCACCCACGAGAUCGAGCCCGGAGCCACCGCAUCGACCGGACGAGGUCUUCUUCAAGCUCUACCCCGCCGCUCGUCAUCUUCGAUUUCGACCUCAUUGA
rnacentral:rRNA from 1 species